AUUGAACGCUGGCGGCAGGCCUAACACAUGCAAGUCGAGCGGUAACAGGGGAAGCUUGCUUCUCGCUGACGAGCGGCGGACGGGUGAGUAAUGUAUGGGGAUCUGCCCGAUAGAGGGGGAUAACUACUGGAAACGGUAGCUAAUACCGCAUAAUCUCUUAGGAGCAAAGCAGGGGAACUUCGGUCCUUGCGCUAUCGGAUGAACCCAUAUGGGAUUAGCUAGUAGGG
rnacentral:rRNA from 1 species